rnacentral:rRNA from 1 species
UACGUAGGGGGCUAGCGUUGUCCGGAAUCAUUGGGCGUAAAGAGCGUGUAGGCGGCCCCGGUAGGUCCGCUGUAAAAGUCAAAGGCUCAACCUUUGAAUGUCAGUGGAUACUGCCGGGCUAGAGUCCGGAAGAGGCGAGUGGAACUCCUGGUGUAGCGGUGGAAUGCGCAGAUAUCAGGAGGAACACCAAUGGCGAAGGCAGCACUCUGGGACGUGACUGACGCUGAGACGCGAAAGCGUGGGGAGCAAACAGG